UACAGAGGGUGCGAGCGUUAAUCGGAAUGACUGGGCGUAAAGGGCGCGUAGGCGGUUGGAUGGGUGUGAUGUGAAAGCCCUGGGCUUAACCUAGGAAGCGCAUCGCAAACUAUUUAACUAGAGUAGAUGAGAGGGUGGCGGAAUUUCCGGUGUAGCGGUGAAAUGCGUAGAGAUCGGAAGGAACGUCGAUGGCGAAGGCAGCCACCUGGCAUCAUACUGACGCUGAGGCGCGAAAGCGUGGGGAGCGAACAGG
rnacentral:rRNA from 1 species